rnacentral:lncRNA from 1 species
AUGUGGGGGUCGGGACAGCGUGGGGCCGCACCCCAGGACUGGGGGCGCAGCAGUCGGGCGCGCUCGUCGCUCGGGGCGCGCACAACCUGCGGGGCCCGGAGGCGAGGAGGGGCCCCGCCCGCGCCCUCCGGCUCCCACGCCCGGCGCGCGGCGCCCCCUCCCCCGGGCGGCGCCGAUUGGCUGCGGCGGCGGCUGGAGCCCGCCCCGCGCGGCCGGCUGGGGGCGCCGCGGGCCAGAGCGAGCUGCGCCGCCACCGCCGCCGCCACCGCUGCCGCCGCCGCCGGGAGCACCGCGCGCCUCGGGCUCCGCGCGCCGCCAGCUCCCGGCCCGCCCGCCUGCCGGCCCCGCCGCGCCCGCCAGCCCCGCCGCGGAGCCCCGGCCCGACCCCGGGCCGCCGCCACCACGCCGCGCGCCGUACUCCGCGUCAAGAAUGGGGCGGCCAAGCUGCCCAAGCCGGCCGCCGCCGCCGCCGCCGCGGCCGAGGCGCCCGGCGCCGGCGCGGGCAUGGAGCGCUCGCAGAGCCGCCUCAGCCUGUCCGCCUCCUUCGAGGCGCUCGCCAUCUACUUCCCGUGCAUGAACUCCUUCGACGACGAGGACGCGGGGGACAGCCGGAGGUUGAAGGGGGCCAUCCAGAGAAGCACGGAGACCGGCCUGGCAGUGGAGAUGCCCAGCCGGACCCUGCGCCAGGCCAGCCACGAGUCCAUCGAGGACAGCAUGAACAGCUACGGCUCCGAGGGCAACCUUAACUAUGGGGGAGUUUGUCUGGCAUCGGAUGCCCAGUUCAGUGACUUCCUGGGCAGCAUGGGGCCGGCACAGUUUGUGGGCCGCCAGACCCUGGCCACCACACCGAUGGGGGACGUGGAGAUCGGCUUGCAGGAGCGGAACGGUCAGCUGGAAGUGGACAUCAUCCAGGCUCGGGGUCUGACGGCCAAGCCAGGCUCCAAGACACUGCCAGCGGCCUACAUCAAGGCCUACCUGCUGGAGAACGGCAUCUGCAUUGCCAAGAAGAAGACCAAAGUCGCUCGCAAGUCGCUGGACCCACUAUAUAACCAGGUGCUGCUGUUUCCUGAGAGUCCCCAGGGCAAAGUCCUGCAGGUGAUCGUGUGGGGGAACUACGGGCGGAUGGAACGGAAGCAGUUCAUGGGCGUGGCCCGCGUGCUGCUGGAGGAGCUGGACUUGACCACCCUGGCCGUGGGCUGGUACAAGCUCUUCCCCACCUCCUCCAUGGUGGACCCAGCCACAGGCCCCCUGCUCCGGCAGGCGUCCCAGCUGUCCCUCGAGAGCACCGUGGGGCCCUGCGGCGAGCGAUCUUAG